rnacentral:rRNA from 1 species
CCGCCGUCACAUCACGAAAGUGAGUUGGUACUAGAAGUCGCCGAGCCGACCGCAAGAGGCAAGCGCCCAAGGUAUGACUCAUGAUUGGGGUG